rnacentral:rRNA from 1 species
CCUACGGGGGGCUGCAGUGGGGAAUAUUGCACAAUGGGCGCAAGCCUGAUGCAGCCAUGCCGCGUGUGUGAAGAAGGCCUUCGGGUUGUAAAGCACUUUCAGCGGGGAGGAAGGCGGUGAGGUUAAUAACCUCAUCGAUUGACGUUACCCGCAGAAGAAGCACCGGCUAACUCCGUGCCAGCAGCCGCGGUAAUACGGAGGGUGCAAGCGUUAAUCGGAAUUACUGGGCGUAAAGCGCACGCAGGCGGUCUGUCAAGUCGGAUGUGAAAUCCCCGGGCUCAACCUGGGAACUGCAUUCGAAACUGGCAGGCUAGAGUCUUGUAGAGGGGGGUAGAAUUCCAGGUGUAGCGGUGAAAUGCGUAGAGAUCUGGAGGAAUACCGGUGGCGAAGGCGGCCCCCUGGACAAAGACUGACGCUCAGGUGCGAAAGUGUGGGGAGCAAACAGGAUUAGAUACCCGUGUAGUC